UACAGAGGUGCCAAGCGUUAGGCGGAAUCACUGGGCUUAAAGCGCGUGUAGGUGGGUCGAUAAGUGUCUUGUGAAAUCCCACGGCUCAACCGUGGAACUGCUGGGCAUACUGUCGAUCUUGAGGCACUCAGAGGCGAGCGGAACAAAUGGUGGAGCGGUGAAAUGCGUAGAUAUCAUUUGGAACGCCAAUGGUGAAAACAGCUCGCUGGGGGUGUUCUGACACUGAGACGCGAAAGCCAGGGGAGCAAACGGG
rnacentral:rRNA from 1 species